AGCAGCCGCGGUAAUUCCAGCUCCAAUAGCGUAUAUUAAAGUUGUUGCAGUUAAAAAGCUCGUAGUUGAAUUUCGGGGUCAGCAGGUCGGUCGUGCCAAUGGUAUGCACUGGCCUUGCUGAUUCCUCCCUCUUGAUGAGCCGUAAUGCCAUUAAUUUGGUGUUGCGGGGAAUCAGGACUGUUACUUUGAAAAAAUUAGAGUGUUUAAAGCAGGCAAGCGCUUGAAUACAUUAGCAUGGAAUAAUGAAAUAGGACGUUCGAUCCUAUUUUGUUGGUUUCUAGGAUUGACGUAAUGAUUAAUAGGGAUAGUUGGGGGCAUUAGUAUUCAAUUGUCAGAGGUGAAAUUCUUGGAUUUAUUGAAGACUAACUACUGCGAAAGCAUUUGCCAAGGAUGUUUUCAUUAAUCAAGAACGAAAGUUAGGGGAUCGAAGACGAUCAGAUACCGUCGUAGUCUUAACCAUAAACUAUGCCGACUAGGGAUCGGAUGAUGUUAAUUUUUUAAUUGAC
rnacentral:sRNA from 1 species